GUUUGAUCAUGGCUCAGAUUGAACGCUGGCGGCAGGCUUAACACAUGCAAGUCGAGCGGGGGAAGGUAGCUUGCUACUGGACCUAGCGGCGGACGGGUGAGUAAUGCUUAGGAAUCUGCCUAUUAGUGGGGGACAACAUCUCGAAAGGGAUGCUAAUACCGCAUACGUCCUACGGGAGAAAGCAGGGGAUCUUCGGACCUUGCGCUAAUAGAUGAGCCUAAGUCGGAUUAGCUAGUUGGUGGGGUAAAGGCCUACCAAGGCGACGAUCUGUAGCGGGUCUGAGAGGAUGAUCCGCCACACUGGGACUGAGACACGGCCCAGACUCCUACGGGAGGCAGCAGUGGGGAAUAUUGGACAAUGGGGGGAACCCUGAUCCAGCCAUGCCGCGUGUGUGAAGAAGGCCUUAUGGUUGUAAAGCACUUUAAGCGAGGAGGAGGCUACUUUA
rnacentral:rRNA from 1 species